rnacentral:rRNA from 1 species
CUACGGGUCGCUCCAGUGGGGAAUAUUGGACAAUGGGGGAAACCCUGAUCCAGCAAUGCCGCGUGUGUGAAGAAGGCCUGCGGGUUGUAAAGCACUUUCGGUUGGGAGGACUGCUUCUAGCACUAAUAUUGUUGGAAGUUGACGUUACCUUCAGAAGAAGCACCGGCUAACUCCGUGCCAGCAGCCGCGGUAAUACGGAGGGUGCAAGCGUUAAUCGGAAUUACUGGGCGUAAAGCGCGCGUAGGCGGCUAGAUCAGUCGGGUGUGAAAGCCCCGGGCUUAACCUGGGAACUGCAUCCGAUACUGUCUAGCUUGAGUACAGGAGAGGAGGGUGGAAUUACACAUGUAGCGGUGAUAUGCGUAGAUAUGUGGAGGAACACCAAUGGCGAAGGCAGCUCUCUGGCCUGAUACUGACGCUGAGGUGCGAAAGCGUGGGGGGCAAACAGGAUUAGAUACCCUAGUAGUC